CGGGUGAGUAACGCGUGGGUAACCUGCCUCACACAGGGGAUAACAGUUAGAAAUGACUGCUAAUACCGCAUAACCCGAUAGGAUCGCAUGAUCCAGACGGAAAAGAUUUAUCGGUGUGAGAUGGACCCGCGUCUGAUUAGCUAGUUGGUGAGGUAACGGCCCACCAAGGCGACGAUCAGUAGCCGGCCUGAGAGGGUGAACGGCCACAUUGGGACUGAGACACGGCCCAA
rnacentral:rRNA from 1 species